GGGAUAGCGCUAACGUUGGAGAGUUAGGCGAGACUGUAAAUCUCGUGUCGGAUCACUGAGUGGGUUCGAAUCCCACCUGUCCCA
rnacentral:tRNA from 1 species